rnacentral:rRNA from 1 species
AAGGGCCCUAGUCCUACGGGAUNUUUCAGGGCGCGNAAAUUUUUCAAUGCGCGAAAGCGUGAUAAGGGAAUUCCGAGUGAUCUCCUUAGGGAGAUCUUUUCAUCUGUGUAAAUAGCAGGUGGAAUAAGGGCCGGGUAAGACCGGUGCCAGCCUUUUUACGACGUUACACGUUUAYCGUCGUAGRACUGGAAGCCGCGGUAAUACCGGCGGCCCGAGUGGUAUCCACGUAUAUUGGGUUUAAAGCGCACGUAGCCGGCUUGGCGUGUUCUCUGUGAAAUCCUUCGGCCUAACCGAGNGGCGUGCAGAGAAAACUACCAGGCUCGAGAAUGGGGGAGGCCAGAGGUACAUACAGAGUAGGGGUAAAAUCCGUUAAUCCUGUAUGGACCCCCAGCGGCGAAGGCGUCUGGCUAAAACAUGUCUGACGGUGAGGUGCGAAGGCUAGGAGAACGAAACGGAUUAGAUACCCGUGUAGCCCUACGCAGUAAAUGAUGCNGACCUAGGUGUUGCCACAACCUUCGAGUCGUGGCAGUGCCGUAGUGUAAACGUUAANUCNGCCACCUGGGGAGUACAACCGCAAGCUUAAAACUUAAAGGAAUUGC